rnacentral:rRNA from 1 species
GAUUGAACGCUGGCGGCAGGCUUAACACAUGCAAGUCGAGCGGGGGAAGGUAGCUUGCUACUGGACCUAGCGGCGGACGGGUGAGUAAUGCUUAGGAAUCUGCCUAUUAGUGGGGGACAACGUUCCGAAAGGGACGCUAAUACCGCAUACGUCCUACGGGAGAAAGCAGGGGAUCUUCGGACCUUGCGCUAAUAGAUGAGCCUAAGUCGGAUUAGCUAGUUGGUGGGGUAAAGGCCUACCAAGGCGACGAUCUGUAGCGGGUCUGAGAGGAUGAUCCGCCACACUGGGACUGAGACACGGCCCAGACUCCUACGGGAGGCAGCAGUGGGGAAUAUUGGACAAUGGGGGGAACCCUGAUCCAGCCAUGCCGCGUGUGUGAAGAAGGCCUUUUGGUUGUAAAGCACUUUAAGCGAGGAGGAGGCUUACCUGGUUAAUACCUGGGAUAAGUGGACGUUACUCGCAGAAUAAGCACCGGCUAACUCUGU